AGGUAAGCUAUGAAGAGCAAAUGGUGGAUGCCUUGACUGGUAAAGGCGAUGAAGGACGUACUAGACUGCGAUAAGCUACGGGGAGCUGUCAAGAAGCUUUGAGCCGUAGAUGUCCGAAUGGGGCAACCCAAGAUAUAGAGAUAUAUCUUACCAUAAUGGAGCGAACGAGGGGAAUUGAAACAUCUUAGUACCCUUAGGAAAAGAAAUCAAUAGAGAUUGCGUCAGUAGUGGCGAGCGAAAGCGUAACAGGGCAAACCUAGUGCUUGCACUAGGGGUUGUAGGACUGCAAUGUGGAAGGAAUGAGUUUAGCAGAACACUCUGGAAAGUGUAGCCAUAGAGGGUGAUAGUCCCGUAUGCGAAAAACAAUUUCUACCUAGCAGUAUCCUGAGUAGGGCGGGACACGUGAAAUCCUGCCUGAAGCUGGGGAGACCACUCUCCAACCCUAAAUACUCCUACCAGAUCGAUAGCGAACAAGUACCGUGAGGGAAAGGUGAAAAGAACCGCGGUGAGCGGAGUGAAAUAGAACCUGAAACCAUUUGCUUACAAUCAUUCAGAGCCCUAUUGUGAGUCCCUUUGAGGAAUUUAAUGAACAUAGAUUCUAAAAAACUCUUUGUUAAAAUGAGUGUAUAAAAUACAAUGGAUAUAAAUCAAUAUUUGAUUUAGAGUUUGAAAGAGUUUAAAUCAUCAAUUCAUAUUUUAUAUUUUUACAGAGCAACACAUAGAAAUGAUAAAGAGAAAUGAUAAAACUAAUCCUUGUUUUAUAGAAUUUGUGUAUCACAAUACAAGAGAUUUUUACAGCUUCUUGCUAUAAAAAUAAUUCUUCAAAGGGAUUCACAAGGGUGAUGGACUGCCUUUUGCAUAAUGAGCCUGCGAGUUGUGGUGUCUGGCAAGGUUAAGCAAACGCGAAGCCGUAGCGAAAGCGAGUCUGAAUAGGGCAAAAAGUCAGAUGCUGCAGACCCGAAACGAAGUGAUCUAUCCAUGAGCAGCUUGAAGCUAGUGUAAGAGCUAGUGGAGGAGCGAACCCAUAGGCGUUGAAAAGCCCCGGGAUGACUUGUGGAUAGGGGUGAAAGGCCAAUCAAACUUCGUGAUAGCUGGUUCUCUCCGAAAUAUAUUGAGGUAUAGCGUUGUGAAGUAGCUUAGGGGGGUAGAGCACUGAAUGGGCUAGGGCAUACACCAAUGUACCAAACCCUAUCAAACUCCGAAUACCCUAAGUGGUAUCACAGCAGUCAGACGGCGAGUGAUAAAAUCCGUCGUCAAGAGGGAAACAACCCAGACUAUCAGCUAAGGUCCCCAAAUCUUACUUCAGUGGAAAACGAUGUGAAGUUACUCAAACAACCAGGAGGUUGGCUUAGAAGCAGCCAUCCUUUAAAGAAAGCGUAAUAGCUCACUGGUCUAGUGAUUUUGUGCGGAAAAUAUAACGGGGCUAAAGUAAGUACCGAAGCUAUAGACUUGCAUACAACUUAGACUGAUUGAUAAGCUUUUUAUGGAUAAGUUUUUUCAGUUCUUUAGAUUAAGUUUCUUUAUAAAACUUUUUAUAAAACUUUUUAUCAAUUCUUUAUUAUAAAGUUUUUGAGAUUUUUUAUAAACUUAGAAUAAAGGUUUUAAAAUUCUAAGAACUUUUAUGUUAAAUUGACUUGUUUUAAUGCUUGAUUUGAUUAAGGGCUUUAAUCAUUGAAUCUUAAAAAAGAUUAUGAGAAUGAUUAAACACAUACAAACACUCAAAUCAAAAAAGAUUAAGAUACAAUUUAAAUGAAAAUUAUAGAAAGAAUUAUAAAGAUUAUAAAGAAAAACUUUUAAAACAGAAGUUUAACAUCAAUCCCAAAGUAAAUUCUUUUUUAAGAGGAUGAAUUAAACUUUAAGAUAAAAACAAAUAAUAGAGAUAAAAUGAAAGAGCUUAUAAACCAAAGAAGCUUAUAAAAAGAAAAACUGAAAUUUUAAGUCAAAUAAUAAAAUAAAACAAUAAAAAAGAUUUAAAAUAAAAAAGAUUUAAAAUUUGAAAAGUUUUAAAAAAUCAAAAAAAGUUUUAGAAAAUUUUUAGAAAGCUUGAAAUAAAAAUUCAAAGCUCAAAUGCUUGAUAAAGAAUUCAAUUUCAAAGGUUUUCAUCAGCUUUAAUCAUCAAAGCAAAAAUUGAUUGUUUAAAAAAGCUUUUAUGACAAAGAAUUAAAUCAAGCAGUUUAAGUUGUGUGCAAGUGGUAGGAGAGCGUUCUAUUAGCGUUGAAGGUAUACCGGUAAGGAGUGCUGGAGCGAAUAGAAGUGAGCAUGCAGGCAUGAGUAGCGAUAAUUAAUGUGAGAAUCAUUAACGCCGAAAACCCAAGGUUUCCUACGCGAUGCUCGUCAUCGUAGGGUUAGUCGGGUCCUAAGCCAAGUCCGAAAGGGGUAGGCGAUGGCAAAUUGGUUAAUAUUCCAAUACCAACAUUAGUGUGCGAUGGAAGGACGCUUAGAGCUAGGAGGGCUAGCGGAUGGAAGUGCUAGUCUAAGGAUGUGAGUGCUUAUACAGGCAAAUCCGUAUAAGAAUACACUGAGGUCUUAAAGGCUCUUCAAAGUCUUCGGAUAGCGAGGAGAACCUCUGAUGCUGUCGAGCCAAGAAAAGUUUCUAAGUUUAGCUAAUGUUGCCCGUACCAUAAACCGACACAGGUGGGUGGGAUGAGUAUUCUAAGGCGCGUGGAAGAACUCUCUUUAAGGAACUCUGCAAAAUAGCACCGUAUCUUCGGUAUAAGGUGUGGUUCGCUUCGUAUUAGAAUUCACUUCGAAAGCGAAGAAACUUACAACAAAGAGUCCCUCCCGACUGUUUACCAAAAACACAGCACUCUGCUAACUCGUAAGAGGAUGUAUAGGGUGUGACGCCUGCCCGGUGCUCGAAGGUUAAUUGAUGGGGUUAGCAUCAGCGAAGCUCUUGAUCGAAGCCCGAGUAAACGGCGGCCGUAACUAUAACGGUCCUAAGGUAGCGAAAUUCCUUGUCGGUUAAAUACCGACCUGCAUGAAUGGCGUAACGAGAUGGGAGCUGUCUCAAAGAGGGAUCCAGUGAAAUUGUAGUGGAGGUGAAAAUUCCUCCUACCCGCGGCAAGACGGAAAGACCCCGUGGACCUUUACUAUAGCUUGACACUGCUGCUUGGAUAAGAAUGUGCAGGAUAGGUGGGAGGCUUUGAAUAUAUGACGCUAGUUGUAUAGGAGCCAUUGUUGAGAUACCACUCUUUCUUAUUUGGGUAGCUAACCAGCUUGAGUUAUCCUCAAGUGGGACAAUGUCUGGUGGGUAGUUUGACUGGGGCGGUCGCCUCCCAAAUAAUAACGGAGGCUUACAAAGGUUGGCUCAGAACGGUUGGAAAUCGUUCACAGAGUAUAAAGGCAAAAGCCAGCUUAACUGCAAGAGACACAACUCGAGCAGGGACGAAAGUCGGUCUUAGUGAUCCGGUGAUUCUGUGUGGAAGGGUCAUCGCUCAAAGGAUAAAAGGUACCCCGGGGAUAACAGGCUGAUCUCCCCCAAGAGCUCACAUCGACGGGGAGGUUUGGCACCUCGAUGUCGGCUCAUCGCAUCCUGGGGCUGGAGCAGGUCCCAAGGGUAUGGCUGUUCGCCAUUUAAAGCGGUACGCGAGCUGGGUUCAGAACGUCGUGAGACAGUUCGGUCCCUAUCUGCCGUGGGCGUAAGAAGAUUGAAGAGCUUUGACCCUAGUACGAGAGGACCGGGUUGAACAAACCACUGGUGUAGCUGUUGUCCUGCCAAGGGCAUCGCAGCGUAGCUAAGUUUGGAAAGGAUAAACGCUGAAAGCAUCUAAGCGUGAAGCCAACUCUAAGAUGAAUCUUCUCUAAGUUCUGUGCAAGACUAGCACUUUGAUAGGCUGGGUGUGUAAGAGAUGAAAGUCUUUGAGCUGACCAGUACUAAUAGAACGUUUGGCUUAUCUUA
rfam:Campylobacter cuniculorum LMG 24588, complete genome.